rnacentral:rRNA from 1 species
AUUGAACGCUGGCGGAAUGCUUUACACAUGCAAGUCGAACGGCAGCAUAGGUGCUUGCACCUGAUGACGAGUGGCGAACGGGUGAGUAAUACAUCGGAACGUGCCCAGUCGUGGGGGAUAACGUAGCGAAAGUUACGCUAAUACCGCAUACGAUCUAAGGAUGAAAGCGGGGGACCGUAAGGCCUCGCGCGAUUGGAGCGGCGGAUGUCAGAUUAGGUAGUUGGUGAGGUAAAGGCUCACCAAGCCGACGAUCUGUAGCUGGUCUGAGAGGACGACCAGCCACACUGGGACUGAGAAACGGCCCAGACUCCUACGGGAGGCAGCAGUGGGGAAUUUUGGACAAUGGACGCAAGUCUGAUCCAGCCAUUCCGCGUGCAGGACGAAGGCCUUCGGGUUGUAAACUGCUUUUGUACGGAACGAAAAAGCUCUUACUAAUACUGGGAGUCCAUGACGGUACCGUAAGAAUAAGCACCGGCUAACUACGUGCCAGCCGCCGCCGUAA